AAUCCAUAGGUUAAUGAGGCGAACCGGGGGAACUGAAACAUCUAAGUACCCCGAGGAAAAGAAAUCAACCGAGAUUCCCCCAGUAGCGGCGAGCGAACGGGGAGGAGCCCAGAGCCUGAAUCAGCAUGUGUGUUAGUGGAAGCGUCUGGAAAGGCGCGCGAUACAGGGUGACAGCCCCGUACACAAAAGCGCAUGUGCUGUGAGCUCGAUGAGUAGGGCGGGACACGUGGUAUCCUGUCUGAAUAUGGGGGGACCAUCCUCCAAGGCUAAAUACUCCUGACUGACCGAUAGUGAACCAGUACCGUGAGGGAAAGGCGAAAAGAACCCCGGCGAGGGGAGUGAAAAAGAACCUGAAACCGUGUACGUACAAGCAGUGGGAGCACCCUUUGGGGUGUGACUGCGUACCUUUUGUAUAAUGGGUCAGCGACUUAUAUUCUGUAGCAAGGUUAACCGUAUAGGGGAGCCGGAGGGAAACCGAGUCUUAAUUGGGCGUUAAGUUGCAGGGUAUAGACCCGAAACCCGGUGAUCUAGCCAUGGGCAGGUUGAAGGUUGGGUAACACUAACUGGAGGACCGAACCGACUAAUGUUGAAAAAUUAGCGGAUGACCUGUGGCUGGGGGUGAAAGGCCAAUCAAACCGGGAGAUAGCUGGUUCUCCCCGAAAGCUAUUUAGGUAGCGCCUCGUGAAUUCAUCUCCGGGGGUAGAGCACUGUUUCGGCUAGGGGGCCAUCCCGGCUUACCAACCCGAUGCAAACUGCGAAUACCGGAGAAUGUUAUCACGGGAGACACACGGCGGGUGCUAACGUCCGUCGUGAAGAGGGAAACAACCCAGACCGCCAGCUAAGGUCCCAAAGUCAUGGUUAAGUGGGAAACGAUGUGGGAAGGCCCAGACAGCCAGGAUGUUGGCUUAGAAGCAGCCAUCAUUUAAAGAAAGCGUAAUAGCUCACUGGUCGAGUCGGCCUGCGCGGAAGAUGUAACGGGGCUAAACCAU
rnacentral:rRNA from 5 species